rnacentral:rRNA from 1 species
AUGUGCAAACCUCGGCAGACGAAGAGGGGGCAAGAAUCUCCCCUCUCUCCUUCCUCAUCUCCGGCGAGGCCCCGACCCCGCACCCCACGGCGGCCGGAGGCGAUGGCGAGGAAGGGCGUGUCGUACGUGACGGCGGCGCAGCUGGUGUCCAUGGUCAGCGACCCGCGCGUCGCCAUCAUCGACGUCAGGGACGAGGAGCGGAUCUGCGACGCGCACAUCGCCGGGUCGCACCACUACGCCAGCGACGGCUUCGCGGACCGGCUGCCGGAGAUCGCCGAGGCCACCCGGGCCAAGGACACCCUCGUCUUCCACUGCGCCCUCAGCCAGGUGCGCGGUCCAUCUUGUGCAAGAAUGUUCCUGGACUAUUUAUCAGAGGCCAAGGAAGAGUCAGCGGUGAAGAGCAUCACGGUCCUCGAGCGUGGAUUCAACGGAUGGGAGCUUUCAGGGAAAGCUGUUUGCCGCUGCAAGGAUGCUCCUUGCAAGGGUGUAUGCUCUUGA